GGACCGGUGGCCGAGCCGAUAACGGCGGCGGUCUUCAUACGGCAGGACCUGGGUUCAAAUCCCAUCCAGACCG
rnacentral:tRNA from 1 species